ensembl:lncRNA
AGUUUGUCUUGCUUUCUCUUCUGCUGCUCUGCACAUUGGUUGGUGGGUGGUGAGCAAUUGCUUGUUGUAUACAUUUUUAAUUUGAAAAUCAGAAGUAUGGAAUAUCUAAUGCACGUGUUUUCAAAACAAGUACUUAGAAGUGCAAAGUGAACCUUCUUACUUAGUGAAAAAUGACCCCAUGCAUCACUACACACUGGGAGAUGGCUGACUGAAAAACACUAAAGACCCUGAAACAUUCUGGUGUUCACCUACCUAAAUGUUAGACAGAAAUUUGUCCUUGCUGUACAGAAAGCCAACGGCCUCCUGGAUUGCAUUAGGAAAAAUGCUGUCAGCAGUUUGAAGGAGGUGAUUCUUCUCUGGUAGGACAUACUUGGAGUACUGGAUUUAGCACUGGGCUCCUCAAAGCAAGAGAGACGGAAGAAAUUCCAGCAAAGAGCCACAAAGAUAUGAAGGGACUGGAGCAUCUCACAUAUGACUCUUCAGACUGGAGAAGAAAGCUCUCAGAGGGGAUCUUAUCAAUUCACUAAGCAUAAGUUCAGAAGGUAGUGAAGAAGACAAAGCCAGACUCUUCUCAUGGUGUCCAGUGUCAGGACAAGCAGCAGUAGACAAAUUCAGAACGAAAAGAAAUUGAAAUUAAAUACAAGAACAAAAACUAUUUUACUAUGAACACUGGAUCUGCUUGCCCAGAGUCUUCAUCCUUGGAGUAUGCUAAACCCAACUGGACACUGCCCUGAGCAGCCUGCUCUGUCUGAGCCUGCUUGGAGUGGGAGGUUGGGCUAGAUGAGCUCCUGAGAUUCCUUCCAACCUCAGUUAUUCUGUAAAUCUGUAAAUUCUAUUUAUCCUGAAGGUACUUUCCAACGUGGAGCUAAUUUCAUGUUUUGAUAGAAAACUUUCGAAAACGUGGAGGUUGAGAUAAAAAGAAAUUUUGAAGUUUAUUGAAUAUUAUUAUAUAUUUAUUAUUAUUAUUCAAUUCAUAUUGUAUUUUUUUAAUCAGUUUCUGUCUUGGCACUUUGACUUGCUUUGAUCCCUUUUCAGAAUCUCAAAAUCUACCAUAAACCAUGAAGAUUGUUUUCUUCACAGUUCUCCCUUUUCAUUCCACAUUACAUCUGAAGUUAUU